rnacentral:rRNA from 1 species
UACGUAGGGCGCAAGCGUUAUCCGGAAUUAUUGGGCGUAAAGAGCUCGUAGGCGGUUUGUCGCGUCUGCCGUGAAAGUCCGGGCUCAACUCCGGAUCUGCGGUGGGUACGGGCAGACUAGAGUGAUGUAGGGGAGACUGGAAUUCCUGGUGUAGCGGUGAAAUGCGCAGAUAUCAGGAGGAACACCGAUGGCGAAGGCAGGUCUCUGGGCAUAACUGACGCUGAGGAGCGAAAGCAUGGGGAGCGAACAGG